UCAUAUCCCAUCAUGCCCUGCGCGGAUGGAGAGCGAGCGCCUCACUAACGGACAGAUCAGUCGCCGCAGCCGAACACGCUUCAACAGCGGCAUGACCCUCAUCGACCAGAAGGUGUCUGUCGACUGUCCCUGGUCCAUUUACUCCACGCUGGUCUCUCUGACCUUCCACGUGCCCUUUAAAGUCAAACACUCGCUGCUGUCUGCAGGACGGAGGAAGUUCAUCCAGGUUUGUCUUCAGAAUGUAUCGGACACUAACUUUCGUCUGACCAAUCAGACGCUGACUGAGAAUCAAUACACACCGUCACUGGAGCUGCUCUCUCUCAACUCUAAAACACACAGCGUGAGUCUCACACACACACACAUAGAACACACACACACACACUCUCACAAACACUCACACUCUC